GACAGAGGGUGCAAACGUUGCUCGGAAUUACUGGGCGUAAAGCGCGUGUAGGCGGACUUGUAAGUCGGAUGUGAAAUCCCUGAGCUCAACUCAGGAACUGCAUUCGAAACUGCAAGUCUGGAGUGGUGGAGAGGGAAGCAGAAUUCCUGGUGUAGAGGUGAAAUUCGUAGAUAUCAGGAGGAACACCGGUGGCGAAGGCGGCUCCUGGACACUUACUGACGCUGACGACGGCGAAAAGCGUGGGGAGCAAACAGGG
rnacentral:rRNA from 1 species